rnacentral:rRNA from 1 species
UACGGGGGGGGGCAAGCGUUGUUCGGAAUUACUGGGCGUAAAGGGUUCGUAGGUGGCUUGCUAAGUCAGACGUGAAAUCCCUCAGCUCAACUGGGGAACUGCGUCUGAGACUGGCGAGCUUGAGUGCAGGAGAGGAAUGCGGAAUUCCAGGUGUAGCGGUGAAAUGCGUAGAUAUCUGGAGGAACACCGGUGGCGAAGGCGGCGUUCUGGACUGCAACUGACACUGAGGAACGAAAGCCAGGGGAGCAAACGGG